CCUACGGGAGGCAGCAGUGAGGAAUAUUGGUCAAUGGGCGCGAGCCUGAACCAGCCAAGUAGCGUGAAGGAUGACUGCCCUACGGGUUGUAAACUUCUUUUAUAAAGGAAUAAAGUGAGGCACGUGUGCCUUUUUGUAUGUACUUUAUGAUUAAGGAUCGGCUAACUCCGUGCCAGCCGCCGCGGUAAUACGGAGGAUCCGAGCGUUAUCCGGAUUUAUUGGGUUUAAAGGGUGCGUAGGCGGCCUUUUAAGUCAGCGGUGAAAGUCUGUGGCUCAACCAUGGAAGUGCCGUUGAAACUGGGGGGCUUGAGUAUGUUUGAGGCAGGCGGAAUGCGUGGUGUAGCGGUGAAAUGCUUAGAUAUCACGCAGAACCACGAUUGCGAAGGCAGCCUGCCAAGCCAUGACUGACGCUGAUGCACGAAAGCGUGGGGAUCAAACAGGAUUAGAUACCCCAGUAGUC
rnacentral:rRNA from 1 species